GGGCUGCUAGCUCAAUCGGCAGAGCGGCGGACUCUUAAUCCGCAGGUUCCGGGUUCGAGUCCCGGGCAGCCCA
rnacentral:tRNA from 2 species